rnacentral:tRNA from 2 species
CGGGGUGUAGCUCAGCUUGGUAGAGCGCCUGCUUUGGGAGCAGGAAGUCGCAGGUUCAACUCCUGUCACCCCGAC